UUUUAUACAGAAGAAACAGGCCGCUUAUUAUUAAGAAGCGUUAAAAGGGAAGACCGGUGCAAAGCCGGCGCGGUCCCGCCACUGUAUGGAUGAAAAUCUUCACACCUGUGUCACUGGUUUAAGCCGAUGAGGUAAUCAACUGGGAAGACGUGAAGUUUUGAUGAUUCUAAGUCAGGAGACCUACCUGUUUGUUUCACCAGAA
rnacentral:ncRNA from 2 species